rnacentral:tRNA from 1 species
UCCCAUGUGGCUCAGUGGUAAAGAAUCUGCCUGUAAUGCAGGAGACCUGGGUUCGAUGCCUGGGUUGGGAA